rnacentral:tRNA from 2 species
GUCUCUGUGGCGCAAUCGGUUAGCGCGUUCGGCUGUUAACUGAAAGCUUUGUGGUUCAAGCCCACCCAGGGACG